UGGAGAGUGCAGCCCUCCAAACUGGUACGCAGAACAGGUGCAGCACAGGCAGCGGCCGUGGAAGCUGCCCCACACGGCCCCCGCCAAUGUGCCUCGGCCUUGUUCUGCAGGGGUCCGUCUCUAGAGGUAAGAGGGUGACGGCGGAUUAAUCACUUUCGAUCCUUGCCUCCC
ensembl:misc_RNA